GGGCUCCUCCAGCCACCACUCCAGGGAUGUUGCACAGGGCCUGCAAAGAGUGUGGAGAGUGACCAGAGCCAUUCCAGAGCUCCCCAGACCCCUGUGCACCUUUGGCCUUGUCCACUGACAUCUGGCUCCCACAGCCUUACCCGACCCCCUUGCAGUGUCCAGUUCCCUAAGGCAGAGGGGGAUCCCAGAACAUCAUGGAAAUGGUUCUGAUCUUUGCUCCCUUCUAGACUGGGAUGGCGUCAUGGACUAUCUGGAUGCCCUAUCGGAUAAUGACUUGAAACCCCCGGAGAAUGCUGGAGGUCUUCCUAGAUGGAUGAACCAAGACGCAGGAGACAGCAAGUCGCUGGAGGCAGCCAAACUUCUGGACAAGAUGCUGAGUGACCUUGAGAGACGUCGUGAGAUGAAACGAAAGGCUGUGCUGAAGGCUGAGUUUUCCAGAGGAAGCAGUGGCUCAUUGGCAGCCUCUGCUGCAGGAAGGGAGGCGAUGCCAGGCACAGGCCCAGGAGGU